UGUUUAUUCCGGAGUCAGAAAAAAGUUUCUCCUCUGCGCUAUUGGCGCUAUUACUUCUUGCUAUUGAGAUAUUCUAUUAUUCAAGUUAAUCGCUUAAGAAGUGGUUGGUUGUGAGUACAUUAAUAUUAGACAAUGUGUCCCAUUGUAGAAAACAUUUAGUUAUUUUUGCGAGCUUCCAACAAACAGAUUCAUCCCCAAUUGUAUUAUGAAAGCCGUAAGUCUGAAUAGCAGAAAUCCUCCAUUGGGGAUCAGAUAUAAAAAUGCUGCAAUGAAAUAAGGACUGUUUUACAUCCCCUCAGCGAGGAUUUCUCAAAAUGGGGACACUCAUAGAAUUGUCUGGGAUUAGAUAUUUAGCUCUGAGUGCAGUAAAGUUGAUUAAGCAAAAGAUCACCUUGCUUAUUGUCACCAGCCACACUUUUCAAUUUUCCCUCUAAAAGGCAAUUUUUGAAAUUUUCAACAAAAAGAAUAUGAAUAUGAGAGGAUAUUUAGUAGACCAACAGCUUUGGACAAGUAUGCUUUUAAUUAAUUGUCUACUAAGGGGCAAAAAGAUAGAUUCCCUCGACAGCUCAAUUUAACGGAUUUAACGGAAACGACAUCAGGACAAUUCCAUAGUUCGUGAGUAUUUUGCCAGAUUUCACUACAAUUCGUCGGAUAUAUUUGCGAGAGAUUAUUCAUAAGGAAGUUGAUCAUCAUUCAUCACACUAUUGUAGUCAAUAAUGAAAGACUUCCUAUUCCUGAACAUCUCUUUCAUUUUUCUAGUAUUGGGAUCCAGGAGAUGGGUUUACCAAAUACUGUCAUGAAUGAUUUAACAGCCUGUCCGCCUGAGACAUUUGAGCAUCUCUUGGGCAAUACUAUAUUUGUAGUGGAUCAGCGGAAUCAGCUCAUAAUCUUGGAAAAAAACAAGAUUUCAGCAAGAAAUUCGAGCUCUCGUUUCUCAAGAGUACAGAAUCCAUGUAAAAAUUGCCUACAAGGCUGCUUCUUCUGCUUGGCAGGAUGAAAGAAAAUCAGCCAGAGUCGGGACUCCAAGAAUGAACGAAUUUUACGAAUGUCGGAAAUCUUGUUAAUUAUCUGUAAGAUGUGGAGACUCAUCAGGCAACGCUUAAGUCCGGAAGAGCGUAAUGACGGAGAUUGAAGAGGUGCUCUCCCUGUAACGGAAGAUUACACCAUGUUGGUCAGGUCAGGAAUACGUUCCACGUACUCUUCUUGGCAAUGGCUGGGAUGCAAAUGAUGCCUUUCGUAAUGAGAACGAUGUCAGCUAAUAUCGUACUCUAAGUGCUCAACUUCCUCACCCUGAACACAAAUGGCGAUUUUUCCGGUGAUAGGUGUCUAAGGACGAAAUCUUCAGCUGGACUAACUCCAAAACAUAUCCAAAAAAUGAACGAAAUCGUCAGGGCCAAUUUUUUGCAAAGUCAAAAAAUCAUGUUUUUGGAGGGGAUAGAAGGGUGGGGGGUAAUUUGGGUAAGUUAGAUAGAGAAUGUUGACUUGUGGGGGUUCACUGAAGACCGGAAGUCAAUAUCUCUUACCGUUUAGCAGCCAGGAUGGAGAGAAGUUAACUUCUCGAACAUAAAUUCUUUUCUCGUCUUUUUCUCAUCUCAUAAUAAAAUUAAUUGAAUGUUCAACAGGUUAAGAAAUACACUUUUAGUAAUAAUCAUACUCUCUUCUUAUGAUCACGUAAAUCAUAAUUUCAAUUCAAAGGUGCACAUAGAUUUGAGGGAAAGUAUCUUUUCUGUCACAUAAGACUAAUAUAUAUUACAAAUUCUUUAUGUAUUAAUUAAUGCGAUUGAACUUUGAAUUCUUUUAUUUUCAGAAAUUGGCAUUUAAGUGUCCGUGUAAAUUCAUCCAUUGUUGAAAAUAACUACAAUAUUUGUAAAAGAGAAUGUUGAAUGCUUUUAAAAUAGUGUGCGACAUUUAAGAGGAGAGGCUGUUUUUAUUCUUGUUGAAUAUUUAUGAAUAAGAAAUAUAAGCUGAAAAUCAAGUUUAUAAAUACCAAAAGAAGACACCAUGGCAUGUUCAUGAUGAUGAUGAUGAGAAUAGCAAAUCUUAUUACACAA